AUUGAACGCUGGCGGCCGGCUUAAUACAUGCAAGUCGAGCGGAGAUGAGGUGCUUGCACCUUAUCUUAGCGGCGGACGGGUGAGUAAUGCUUAGGAAUAUGCCUAUUAGUGGGGGACAACAUUCCGAAAGGAAUGCUAAUACCGCAUACGCCCUAAGGGGGAAAGCAGGGGAUCUUCGGACCUUGCGCUAACAGAUGAGCCUAGGUCGGAUUAGCUAGUUGGUGGGGUAAAGGCCUACCAAGGCAACGAUCUGUAGCGGGUCUGGGAGGAUGGUCCGCCACACUGGGACUGAGACACGGCCCGGACGCCUGCGGGAGUCAGGAAUGGGGAAUAUUGGACAAUGGGCGAAAGGCUGAUCCGUCCAAGCAGCGUGUGUUAAUAAGGGCUUUUGGUUGUAAAGAACUUUAAGCGAGGAGGAGGCUCUCUUAGUUAAUACCUAGGAUGAGUGGACGUUACUCGCAGAAUAAGCACCGGCUAACUCUGUGCCAGCCGCCGCAGUAAAAC
rnacentral:rRNA from 1 species